rnacentral:rRNA from 1 species
UGCCUACGGGGGGCUGCAGUGGGGAAUAUUGCGCAAUGGGGGAAACCCUGACGCAGCAACGCCGCGUGAAGGAUGAAGGUUUUCGGAUUGUAAACUUCUUUGACGAGGGACGAAUAAUGACGGUACCUCGAAAACAAGCCACGGCUAACUACGUGCCAGCAGCCGCGGUAAUACGUAGGUGGCGAGCGUUGUCCGGAAUUACUGGGUGUAAAGGGCGAGUAGGCGGGGCUGCAAGUCAGGUGUGAAAUUUAUGGGCUUAACCCGUAAACUGCAUUUGAAACUGCGGUUCUUGAGUGAUGGAGAGGCAGGCGGAAUUCCUAGUGUAGCGGUGAAAUGCGUAGAUAUUAGGAGGAACACCAGUGGCGAAGGCGGCCUGCUGGACAUUAACUGACGCUGAUGCGCGAAAGCGUGGGGAGCAAACAGGAUUAGAUACCCCGGUAGUACA